AUUUCAUACUUCUUUCUUAAGGACUGCCUGUCUUCCUUCUGGACUAUUCUUGAAUUCUCAUGCUUGAGUAAAAAAUAUAGAUGUUACUCUAUGGUAAUAUCAUUUUAGAUGCAGUUGUGAUAAAAAAUAAAUAGCUGAAAUAGGCAGACCUUCCUUGUACAAUUUCGCCUUUAAAGUAGUACUGCGUGUCAGUGAAUGCAAUGAGUAAUACUAAAUGAGCAGUAUGGUAAUAAUAAUUAAUAACUGCAUCGACUUAUUUUGUUUAGGAGAAUCCAUCCUCAACAUACAGGAUUCUGAAGACUAUCCACCUUCAAGAUCACCAUCAUUUUCUAUAGUUUCAGAGUUACCUGCCAAUGAUAGUGUUUCAAUCACAUCAGGUAUGUCACAUAGUCACAGUAUAUCACCUAUAGCAAAAAAGGGAAAAAAAAAUCUCCAUCACCCAGAAACAACCAUAGAUAAAUUUGUGAUAAGAACCAGCACAUUACAAAACGAAACAACUGAAACAUCAGGAAAUGCAAAUACAGCACAAUACUUACAAGAAGUAGCAGUAAAAGCUAUAACAAACUGUGAAAAAAAA